GGAAUUUUAAAAAUGUAAAGGAAAUGAUUGAAGCAAUUAGGCAGUUUUCUCCAGAUUAGAUAAAGUUUUGCAAGUGGGAGGGAUGUGAGGGGGUAGGGUGGGGUUUCAGCACCACUCCUCCUCCUCCUCUCCUUGUUUUCAUCCAGUUAAAGUCAUCUCUUUCUCUAGGUUUAGAAAGGCCCCAGGAGGCCCUUCUGGGUGAAACCCCAGGAAAGGAAGAAGCCUCCAUGCUGUCACUAUGUCCCCUUAAGGGCUGACCUUAAACUCAACUGGAAAAAAAAAACACUCUUCCCUAAAAAGCUGUGCCUGGCUUGGUGGUUAUGAUCACAGAACUCAAGUGUCCUCCUUGCCUUUGGGUCUUGCUGGCGCCUCCUCCAGUGGACCCUCAGCAGCAAAUAGGAGAGGCUGAAGAGCCAGCACUGGGAGACUCAGAGUUGUGUGAAGCUCUACUCCUAGCUAUUUGUUGAGUCCUGGACAGGUCACUUCACAUUUCCAGCUCCCAGUGUUUUCAAAUGGAAAGUGGGGAUAAUUCCAGUUGCUCCUUGGAAUCAGUGGGAGGAGUUUCUGAGGAAAAAUAUGUUAACCUUUAGCAAAGUACUUCACACGGAGUAACUCAACAAAUGUUAACUGUCAUUAUUAUUUGCGAAAUGGGGAUAACAAAAAUAAACAGUAACCUUAAAACAGAACAUGCAAUUUAGAGCAUUAAAUAAGAUGGGACAUAGAGUGUUCACAGCAUUCCAAACCUGUUGCAUAUCAUAUAUUCAUUCAUUUAACAAGCAGUACUAAGACUACUCAGGCUGCUGUAGAUGCCCAAUAUGGAGCCCUUAGAAUCCAGUGAGGGGAAUUAACAUAUUGUCCCCAUGUAUCUCCGAGGCAGCAAAGAGGGAAAGAUGACUUCUCAUGGAGCAGCGAGCCUUUCUGUGACAGACCUACAUGAACCCUGAAAUGGGGUUCCAUUGUGGUGGAUGGGAGUGGAUUCCAGAGGAAGUGAGGGCAGAAGGGCAUUUCAGGCAAUGGAAGAACUCACAUGACCAGCAGGAGCAGGC
rnacentral:lncRNA from 1 species